rnacentral:misc_RNA from 1 species
AAAGUCGUAACAAGGUCUCCGUUGGUGAACCAGCGGAGGGAUCAUUACCGAGUUUACAACUCCCAAACCCCUAUGUGAACGUUACCAAACUGUUGCCUCGGCGGGUUCAUUCAUGCCCCGGGCGCGUCGCAGCCCCGGACCAAGGCGCCCGCCGGAGGACCAACCAAAAACUCUUUUGCAUGUCCCUCGCGGACUUUUUUUGUUUUACAACUCUGAACCAUCUCGGCGCCCCUAGCGGGCGUUUCGAAAAUGAAUCAAAACUUUCAACAACGGAUCUCUUGGUUCUG